AUGGCGGCAGCAAAGUUGCUUACUUGUAUACUUAGUAGGGCAAGAAGGGAACCAAUCAAGAUGCCAUGCUUGUUUGGAAGCAAAACCAAAUUGUUUGACUUGCAGGGAGCAUCCAGCUCAGGAGCUCCUAGCUUUAAGGGGGAAACUUAUCAACCAGAUCAAGGAAAACUAAGGAAAUGCUACCAACGGGAUUCAGCAGCUAAAGCUAAAAGAAAUGUCAUUCCCUCUCGAUCGAGUCCUGAGGAUGCUCAGCUUGCUACUUUUUUCACUCACCUGCAUCAUAAGUUCCAUACGACCUUGAAGUCAUUGGAAUCGUUUCAAGCUAAGAACUCUGAGCGUGUGUUCAAUACAGUUAUGACUUACAUUCCUCAAGAUUUUCGGUGGAGGCUUAUUAGACUGUAGAGGGAGCGAUCCGAGAGGAAUGGGAGUGAUCUGAGAGGAAUAAGCAAGCUAGCAGAGAUUGAUGCUAUGAUUAGUUCUGGGGCAAGUAAACGUGAUCGUUAUGCUCUCCUGUGGAAACAACAAAUGGAGAGGAGGAGACUGUUGGCACAGUUUGUUUCUGCUACUGGUGUCUACAAAACCCUUGUCAAGUACUUGGUUGGGGUUCCACAGGUUUUACUAGAUUUUGUUCGCCAAAUAAAUGAUGAUGAUGGGCCCAUGGAAGAGCAACGACAGCGUUAUGGACCACCUUUGUACGGCCUUACAACUUUGGUGCUUCUUAUACGUCUGGCUAUUUUGCUGUCUCGGGGGCGGUUUGAAACUAGAAAAUUAAACAAGAAAGAGGUAGCUGUCUUGGAACAAUCUGUUGACGUCUACAUCACUGAGUUUGAAAGUUUAUUAGGUUUAUCAAGUAUUAAUGCUAUUUCCUCUGUUGACUUGCUAGUGUUUGAUUAUUUCUUUACACCCUUUCAUCCCAAAAAUGCGUAA